rnacentral:lncRNA from 1 species
ACCCUUGAAUAUCUCUAACCCCUGAUCCACUGGGGAGGCUGAUUUGAGUAAUAAUAAACCUCUGUCCUCCUGUUUGGCAGACUUGGAGUCGUUAAAAUCUUUCUUGACUAGAAACCAACAUUUCAAUAAUUUUUUUUUUUUUUUUUUUUUUUUUUUUUUUUGUGCAGGAGGCCAGAAGAACUUGCCUGGCAAUUAUGAGUGGAUGGAGGAACUGCCUAUCCCUGUCCCAUUGUCUUGUCCACAGGUCAGCCUCACAAAGGGAAAGAGCCCUGGAUGGGAAUACAGUGGAAGCUCAUUCUCUUAGUGACCUGGGGACAUUGGCUCGAGAUGAAGCCUGGCAGGAGUGGCAACUCCAGGUGAAAAGCUUGGUGAAAGAUUUUAAGGACUUCCCAUUGGCUGAAGGCUGGCAAAUGGAGUUUGCUAUCCUCUGACUGCAGCCAUUCUGAGGACUGGAAAGAAUACCCUGAGAAGGGGCCUAUUUUAUUUCUGCAGGAAG